AACGCACCUUGCGCUCCUUGGUAUUCCGAGGAGCAUGCCUGUUUGAGUGUCAUGGUAUUCUCAACUCUUCUGUGUGUUUUUUUUUCUUCAAUGAAAAAAGAAUAACAAUGCAGUCGAGCUUGGAUGUGGAGGUUUUUUUGCUGGUGUUUCAACUUUGUUUUGAACGCCGGCUCCUCUGAAAUGCAUUAGCUUGAAUAUUUUACUGAGCGUGUGAUCCGGCGUGAUAAUUGUCUACGUCGUUUCAGUCUCGGUGUUUCAAUAAAUGUUCUAGCUUCGAGCCGUCCCUUUGGACAAUGUGUAUCUGAACGUCUGACCUCACAUCAGGUAGGACUACCCGCUGAACUUAA
rnacentral:misc_RNA from 1 species